ACCACCUUAAAGUCACACUGAUAGUAACCUGUCUGUUUCACUAACAGAUGGGGGCAGCGGGAUGCUGGUCGUUCGUGUGACCUCUGACAGCAGUCGACCUGGAGUCCUUCUGGUAGAAGGUUCUGGAAGGAGCUCAGAACCCCUCACACUGCAGGAUGUUAUUCAGACCCUUGGGCAGACUGCUGAUACCUCCUGGGGAGUUUACCUGAGGGUCCAUAGUCAGCAGCUUCUGGAGGCUUCUCUUAACCUGCUGCAGUCAGCCUACAGGGCUGAUGAGCUCUACAGGCCUGUGUGGAUCAGCAUGGAGGGCUUACAGAGCAGCGACAGCACAGCAGUCUUUGUGUCCACAGUCGAGCGCCUGUUUCCAUACGUCACUGUAGUCCUGGCUGAGCACAAAUGGCCUCCUCGGAUCCCAGCGGCGGUGUCACAGAGGGUGGCUCUACGCCUGAAUGCAGCAUCGCUGCCCACAGGACAGGAGCAGCUUCAUGCUUUACUGGGAAUGAUGGACAAAUACGACUUUAUAAUUGAGGUGGACACAAAGAAAGGUGCUGAAGCUGUCACCGUGGUGAAGGAGCUCAGUGCACGGUGUGCAGGGAGAGCGAACAGAAGCCUGUAUAUUCUACCUCAGCAACCCACAGUGAGCAGCAUCACAGAGCACGUGUGGGGCUGACAUGUUUAUAUGUGCUUUACUGUGCUGUGACACAGUCCUCGAUGCUUUUAUGUUCCAUUCAAAGUCACCACAGA
rnacentral:lncRNA from 1 species